UACGUAGGGGGCUAGCGUUGUCCGGAAUCAUUGGGCGUAAAGAGCGUGUAGGCGGCCCGGUAAGUCCGCUGGGAAAGUCGGGGGCUCAACCCUCGAAUGCCGGUGGAUACUGUCGGGCUAGAGUGCGGAAGAGGCGAGUGGAAUUCCUGGUGUAGCGGUGAAAUGCGCAGAUAUCAGGAAGAACACCCGUGGCGAAGGCGGUUCUCUGGGACGGUACUGACGCUGAGACGCGAAAGCGUGGGGAGCGAACAGG
rnacentral:rRNA from 1 species